rnacentral:rRNA from 1 species
AUACGUAGGGGGCGAGCGUUGUCCGGAAUGAUUGGGCGUAAAGGGCGCGUAGGCGGCGCGGUAAGUCUGGAGUGAAAGUCCUGCUUUCAAGGUGGGAAUUGCUCUGGAUACUGCCGCGCUUGAGUGCAGGAGAGGUUAUCGGAAUUCCCGGUGUAGCGGUGAAAUGCGUAGAGAUCGGGAGGAACACCAGUGGCGAAGGCGGGUAACUGGACUGCAACUGACGCUGAGGCGCGAAAGUGUGGGGAGCAAACAGGAUUAGAUACCCUGGUAGUCCACACUGUAAACGAUGAAUGCUAGGUGUAAGAGGUAUCGACCCCUUUUGUGCCGGAGUCAACACAAUAAGCAUUCCGCCUGGGGAGUACGGCCGCAAGGUUGAAACUUAAAUGAAUUGACGGGG